CUAAAUUACAAUGUCACAAAGAGAAGAAAGCCAAUUUAUUUCAGACUUCACUGUCCCGGGAUUUGUAUUAACUUGAGCAGAGGCUGGGAUUGAUAGUCUCUUUUAUAUUAACUACUGACAAAAAAGUACUCUCAUGAAGUUGGUAUAAGAGGAGAAAAAGGAAGCCUACAGAGCUUUGGUGGAUUUUGCAGUUGGUGCUUCUCCCUAGCUCAUCACAUGUACUUGGAAAAAGAACGCUGAUUCACAGAGGAAGAUGGAUGAAUCAAACCGUCAAAGAGAUGCAGAGAGAAAUGACUAUGCAGCACCAGAGGGAGUAAAAAGGGGAAAGGAAGAGAUGGAUAGGCAGACAGAGAAGGACUUGGUGGGAGUAGAAGAGUGAGUAGAAAGGUUAAAGAGGGAGACUCAGGCAGUGAUGAAGAAAAUGACAGGACGAGCCUGCUUGGGU